GGACGUUCCCGAGCAGGCCGCUGCCGUCCAGGAGGACGUGUCCAAGGUUCCCGAGGCUGUGCCCGAUGCCGAGGCGGUGUUCGAAGCGGUGCCUGAUGCGGUGGCCGAGGCGGUUCCCGAUGCAAUGUCCGAUGCCGAGGCGGUGCCCGAUGCCGAGGCGGUGCCCGAUGCCGAGGCGGUGCCCGAUGCCGAGGCGGUGCCUGAUGCGGUGGCCGAGGCGGUUCCCGAUGCCGAGGCGGUGCCCGAGGCGGUGCCCGAUGCCGAGGCGGUGCCCGAUGCGGUUCCCGAGGCGGUGCCCGAUGCCGAGGCGGUGACCGAUGCCGUUCCGGAGGUCGAGGCGGUGCCCGAUGUUGUUCCGCAGGUCGAGGCGGUGCCCGAGGCGGUGCCCGAUGCCGAGGCUGUGCCCGAUGCCGAGCCCGAGGCCGUUUCCGAGGCGGUGCCCGAUGCCGAGCCCGAGGCCGUUCCCGAGGCGGUGCCCUUGUCCAAUGCCGUUCCUGAGGCCAUUCCUGAGGCCGUUCCUGAGACCGUUCCCGAGGCGGUGCCCGAUGCCAAGGUCGUUCCCGAGGCGGUGUCCUUGUCCGAUGCCGUUCCUGAGGCCAUUCCCGAGGCGGUGCCCGAUGCUGUUCCGGAGGCCGAUGCGGGGCCCGAGAUGGUUCCGGAGGCGAUACCCGUGUCCAAGGCCGUUCCCGAGGCGGUGCCCUUGUCUGAGGCCGUUCCCGAUGCCGUUCCCAAUGCCGUGACCUGGCCAUCGCCACAGCCUGCUCCUUACUGGCUCCCCGAUUGGCAGGUUCCGUUCGGGCCACUCAAAUGGCGAAUUCCUCCCUGGCCGUCUGCACAACGAGAAUGGACUGAUCCACCGUGGCC
ensembl:lncRNA